GAUGAACGCUGGCGGCGUGCCUAACACAUGCAAGUCGAACGGAAAGGCCCUGAUUUUGUGGGGUGCUUGUGUGGCGAACGGGUGAGUAACACGUGAGUAACAUGCCCUUGAAUUUGGGAUAAAUUCAGGAAACUGGGGCUAAUACCGGAUAGGAGAUCCUGCUGCACGGGGGUGGUAGGAAAGUUUCGGCGGUUGGGGAUGGACUAGCGGCUUAUCAGCUUGUUGGGGGGGUAGUGGCUUACCAAGGCUUUGACGGGUAGCCGGCCUGAGAGGGUGACCGGCCACAUUGGGACUGAGAUACGGCCCAGACUCCUACGGGAGGCAGCAGGGGGGAAUAUUGCACAAUGGGCGGAAGCCUGAUGCAGCAACGCCGCGUGCGGGAUGACGGCCUUCGGGUUGUAAACCGCUUUCGCCUGUGACGAAGCGUGAGUGACGGUAAUGGGUAAAGAAGCACCGGCUAACUACGUG
rnacentral:rRNA from 1 species